rnacentral:rRNA from 1 species
GACGAACGCUGGCGGCGUGCCUAAUACAUGCAAGUAGAACGCACAGUUUAUACCGUAUCUUGCUACACCAUAGACUGUGAGUUGCGAACGGGUGAGUAACGCGUAUGUAACCUUCCUGGUAGCGUGAGGUAACUAUUGUUAACGAUAGCUAAUACCGCAUCAUCUUGAUUAUUGCAUGGUAAUUGAUUGAAAGAUGCUAUUGCAUCGCUACCAUAGGGACCUGCGUUUUAUUAGCUAGUAGGUGAGGUAACGGCUCACCUAGGCGACGAUACAUAGCCGACUUGAGAGGGUGAUCGGCCACACUGGGACUGAGACACGGCCCAGACUCCUAAGGGAGGCAGCAGUAGGGAAUCUUCGGAAAUGGACGAAAGUCUGACCGCGCAACGCCGCGGGAGUGAAGAAGGGUUUCGGAUCGGAAAGGUCGGUUGUAAGAGAAGAAAGGGUGUGAGAGUGGAAAGUUCACACUGUGACGGUAGCUUACCAGAAAGAGACGGCUAACUACGUG